rnacentral:rRNA from 1 species
AUUGAACGCUGGCGGCAGGCCUAACACAUGCAAGUCGAGCGGAUGAAGGGAGCUUGCUCCUGGAUUCAGCGGCGGACGGGUGAGUAAUGCCUAGGAAUCUGCCUGGUAGUGGGGGAUAACGUCCGGAAACGGGCGCUAAUACCGCAUACGUCCUGAGGGAGAAAGUGGGGGAUCUUCGGACCUCACGCUAUCAGAUGAGCCUAGGUCGGAUUAGCUAGUUGGUGGGGUAAAGGCCUACCAAGGCGACGAUCCGUAACUGGUCUGAGAGGAUGAUCAGUCACACUGGAACUGAGACACGGUCCAGACUCCUACGGGAGGCAGCAGUGGGGAAUAUUGGACAAUGGGCGAAAGCCUGAUGCAGCCGCGCCGCGUGUGUGAAGAAGGUCUUCGGAUUGUAAAGCACUUUUAGUUGGGAAGAAGGGCAGUAAGUUAAUACCUUGCUGUUUUGACGUUACCAACAGAAUAAGCACCGGCUAACUUCGUG